ACUAUGGAGAGUACAAGGAACUAUGAGUAGAUACUAAGAUACAUAGAUACAAAGUAUUGAAAAUAUACUCAAUGAAGUAGUAA
rnacentral:sRNA from 12 species